rnacentral:tRNA from 1 species
UGCCGGUCUUGAGCAGGGUCGCUCCCUUGGUUACGGAUUGGGGUGGGUUGCCCCACGGCCAGUAGGUGAUCUUCCCACCCGGCCGACAG